UACGAAGGGGACUAGCGUUGUUCGGAAUCACUGGGCGUAAAGCGCACGUAGGCGGAUACUUAAGUCGGGGGUGAAAGCCCAGGGCUCAACCCUGGAAUAGCCUUCGAUACUGGGUAUCUUGAGUUCGGGAGAGGUGAGUGGAACUCCGAGUGUAGAGGUGAAAUUCGUAGAUAUUCGGAAGAACACCAGUGGCGAAGGCGACUCACUGGCCCGAUACUGACGCUGAGGCGCGAAAGCGUGGGGAGCAAACAGG
rnacentral:rRNA from 1 species